rnacentral:rRNA from 1 species
AUAGGGCGAAUGAGUAUGAGGUCGUAGACCCGAAACCAGGUGAUCUACCCAUGUCCAGGGUGAAGUUCAGGUAACACUGAAUGGAGGCCCGAACCCACGCACGUUGAAAAGUGCGGGGAUGAGGGGUGGGUAGCGGAGAAAUUCCAAUCGAACCUGGAGAUAGCUGGUUCUCUCCGAAAUAGCUUUAGGGCUAGCCUCAAGAUGAGAGUAUUGGAGGUAGAGCACUGAUUGGACUAGGGGCCCCCAACGGGUUACCGAAUUCAGUCAAACUCCGAAUGCCAAAUACUUAUUCUUGGGAGUCAGACUGCGAGUG